GACGAACGCUGGCGGCGUGCCUAAUACAUGCAAGUCGAACGCAGUGGGGACGGGUGAGUAACACGUGGGUAACCUCCCAUCAGAGGGGAUAACACUUGGAAACAGGUGCUAAACCGAUAUUGAUGGAUGGACCCGCGGUGCAUUAGCUAGUUGGUGAGGUAACGGCUCACCAAGGCCACGAUGCAUAGCCGGCCUGGGAGGGGGAACGGCCACACUGGGACUGAUACACGGCCCAGACUCUUACGGGAGGCAGCAGUGGGGAAUUUUGGACAAUGGGCGCAAGCCUGAUGCAGCCAUGCCGCGUGUGUGAAGAAGGCCUUCGGGUUGUAAAGCUCUGUCAGCGGGGAGGCGUUACCCGCAGAAGAAGCACCGGCUAACUCCGUGCCAGCAGCCGCGGUAAUUC
rnacentral:rRNA from 1 species